rnacentral:lncRNA from 1 species
AUGGAGCAGCUAAGCCAGCAAAUGGAAAAAGACAAAAUGAGUAUCUCUGAGAAUCUUUCACAGAAGUAUGUUGGUGAAUUAUCUGGGGCUGCAGAACAGAAAGGAAAAAUCACACUAAAUGAACAGCUAAGAGAUGGCAUUUGGAUGCUUGCUUGGUGGCCUGAAGAUAAACUGGAAAGUAGCACAGCAACUGCCAUGAAGUGCCAAAGAAUCUCACACCUAGUACCACCUCUGCAGCUGCACAUGACUGUGAGCAAAGGGCAAGAAUCAUGCCCCUGAGUCACCAUCCUGGCCUCCUGGCAUUCCUUAUCUUGCUGACUCUUAGGAGCCACUUAUCCAGGUAUGGUGGCUUAUGUCUAUAAUCCCAGCACUUGGGAGGCUGUGGUAGAAGGAUUACUUAAGCCCAAGAGUUCAAGACCAGCCUGAGCAGCAUAGCAAGACCCUGUCUCUAGAAAAAAAAAUUUUUUCUUUUAAUUAGCCAGGCAUAGUGGUACAUGCUUUGGUCCCAGAUACUUAGGAAGCUGAGACAGGAGAAUCGUUUGAGUCCGGGAGGUUGAGGCUACAGUGAGCCAUGAUUGCAUCAGUGCAUUCUAGCCUGGGCAACAGAGUGAGACCCUAUUUCAAAUCGCUUUUUUAAAAAAAAGUCGCUUGAAAAGAUUUAUUAUUAAGAUGUGAUAUUCUUAUCCAGGUUUCUUUUUUUUUCUCCUCCUCUCCCUUCCUCCUUAUCCCCAUCUUCCUCCUUCUGAGUGCAUACUAUACGUCAGGCAUUUUUUUUUUUUUUUGAGACAGAGUCGCACUCUGUUGCCCUGGCUGGAGUACAGUGGCAUGAUCUCGGCUCACUGUAGCCUCUGUCUCCCUGCAGCCUCCACCUCCCAGGUUCAAGUGAUUCUUCUGCCUCAGCCUCCUGAGUAGCUGGGAUUACAGGUUCCUACUACCAUGCCUGGCUAAUUUUUGUAUUUUUGGUAGAGACGGGGUUUCACCAUGUUGGCCAUGCUGGUCUCGAACUCCUGAUCUCAGGUGAUCCACCUGCCUUGGCCUCCCAAAGUGCUGGGGUUAUAGGCAUAAGCCACUGCACCCAGCCUCUAUGAUUGACUGUCUGAUUCUCCAUAAUUUGUUGAAGUCUUUGCCCUUUAUUGUUUCCUAAGGAAACCCCGAAAGAGGCUGUGGUCUAAACCUUCUCCUAACUCCUCUCUUCUGCCUCCUGAUCACCCUGGUGCUUCCCUGUGUGGCCUGCAUGGCAUGUCCACUUCCUGNG